rnacentral:lncRNA from 1 species
AUGAAAAGGAGCAGGAGAUUGAUUUCUUUGGCGAGAUAUCUGGUGUGUCAUUCAGUCCUGACACAGAGGCUCUUUACAUUGGAGUGUGGGAUCGCACAUACGGUAGUCUCCUUGAGUAUGGCCGUUGCCGGAACUAUUCAUACCUUGAUUCCUUUGUUUGAGUUGCUUGAAGAAAUGUGUGUUGGUAUGGUUUUUUCCCCUUGAUGCAAUUGAGGAACCUAAUAAAACCAUAUAAUGUAGAAGGAGGUUUAGGUGUAUAUUGUAUUACUAUUGUGGAAUUUUAGGUUCUCGUGGUUCUAUUAGUCUUGGUGC